AGGGAUUCCCCCAGUAGUGGCGAAUGAAGCGGGAAAAGCUCAAGUCUGAAAUCUGAAGUCCACUUCAGAGUUGUAAGCUGAAGAGGUGUCGACCGACUUGGUCCGGGCCCAACUUCCUUGGAACAGGAGGUCAUGGAGGGUGAGAACCCCGUCUGUGGCUCGGGUGCCGUAGUCCUUGUGUCGUGCCCUCGAAGAGUCGGGUUGUUUGGGAAUGCAGCUCAAAAUGGGUGGUAAAUUUCAUCUAAGGCUAAAUAUUGGCGAGAGACCGAUAGCAAACAAGUAGAGUGAUCGAAAGAUGAAAAGUACUUUGAAAAGAGAGUGAAACAGUACGUGAAAUUGUUGAAAGGGAAGCGUUUGACAUCAG
rnacentral:rRNA from 1 species